rnacentral:lncRNA from 1 species
AGGCUUCCAAGUGGAUAUAAAAUCCACUUAUCACACCCCCAAACUUAAACCGAUGCUUGUCCUCAAGCAUAGACACACAAACAAAAACUACUAAUGCAAUACAUGAAUGCAACUAAAUGCCUACAUCUAAUCAAAUCAUGAAGUGUAAUCCGUGUUAACAUAGCAUCCUCAGAAUAUGCAACAUUCUCGGCAUUCAUCUCUCUCACAUAUUAGCCUGUACUCUUCCACUACAAGUGUGAAGUGCAUCGUGUGUGCUAGCAUGCUCUCUAGUGAAACAAAACAAAGACUAUCAAACUUCAACAAAGUCCUCACUAUGAGCCGUUAAUCAGAAUAAGGUUUAAACACUUCUUUACUAAAGAGUCAACUACAAUUUAGGGUCAUCAAAGAAUUCCUAUGCCUCUCCUAUUUUUUUUUUCUUGCUAAGUCUAUAGUUAGGACGCUUCUCAGUGUAAAUGAGUCACGACCCCCAUUCGACUUCGCUUAUUCUUUUUUUUUUCUUUUUUUUUUCAUCAAGUAAUUCUCCAGUAAUCAAGGGCUGUGAAAAGUCACCAAGAAUUUGCUUAUUCUAAUACAUUUGCACUUAAUACCAGCACAAGUACAUGGAUCGUCCCUUUCACAUGACAUUGCAUUCUACCCAUUGAUCUCAAAGGAGUACUGAUAAAUAAAUUUUUUUCUUUCUUUUUUUUUUCUUUUUUUUUUUUCUUUUUUUUUUCUUUUUUUUUAGAAAGGCAUAUUCAUCCCUUAACUCCCCCAAACUUAAGAUUUACAAACUCUAAAUUCAAAAAGGGAAUACUCCAAACUCUACGCCCGACUCAACGCAAGGACUCAAGAAACAAGUUAGUCUAAGUCUUAUCUCUAGAGCAUAAGUGUAAUUACAAUUUUCACACAAGCAAUUUCCAAAUAACAAGGCAUCACAAAUGAGCAAGACUACUAGCCAAGAAAUUAUGCACAUAAC